rnacentral:rRNA from 1 species
UACGAAGGGGGCGAGCGUUGUUCGGAAUCACUGGGCGUAAAGGGCGCGUAGGCGGCCCGCACAAGUCUGCGGUGAAAACCUCCGGCUUAACCGGGGGCCGGCCGUGGAAACUGUCGGGCUGGAGGCUGGGAGAGGGCAGCGGAAUUCCCGGUGUAGCGGUGAAAUGCGUAGAGAUCGGGAGGAACACCGGUGGCGAAGGCGGCUGCCUGGACCAGUCCUGACGCUGAGGCGCGAAAGCUAGGGGAGCAAACAGG